rnacentral:rRNA from 1 species
CAGUAGCCGCGGUAAUACGGAGGGGGCUAGCGUUAUUCGGAAUUACUGGGCGUAAAGCGCACGUAGGCGGCUUCGCAAGUCAGAGGUGAAAGCCUGGGGCUCAACUCCAGAAUUGCCUUUGAGACUGCGUCGCUCGAAUCCGGGAGAGGUGAGUGGAAUUCCGAGUGUAGAGGUGAAAUUCGUAGAUAUUCGGAAGAACACCAGUGGCGAAGGCGGCUCACUGGACCGGCAUUGACGCUGAGGUGCGAAAGCGUGGGGAGCAAACAGGAUUAGAUACCCCAGUAGUCCCUGUCUCUUAUAC